CCUGACUGCUAUCGGAUUGAUACUAAGCCAUGCGAGUCAUUGUAGUAAUACAAGGCAGACGGCUCAGUAACGCGUAGUCAACCUAACCUAUGGACGGGAAUAACCUCGGGAAACUGAGAAUAAUGCCCGAUAGAACAUUAUGCCUGGAAUGGUUUAUGUUCCAAACGAUUUAUCGCCAUAGGAUGGGACUGCGGCCUAUCUGUUUGUUGGUGAGGUAAUGGCCCACCAAGACUAUUACAGGUACGGGCUCUGAGAGGAGUAGCCCGGAGAUGGGUACUGAGACACGGACCCAGGCCCUAUGGGGCGCAGCAGGCGAGAAAACUUUGCAAUGUGCGAAAGCACGACAAGGUUAAUCCGAGUGGUUUCUGCUAAAGGAACCUUUUGUCAGUCCUAAAAACACUAACGAGUAAGGGGUGGGCAAGUUCUGGUGUCAGCCGCCGCGGUAAAACCAGCACCUCAAGUGGUCAGGAUGAUUAUUGGGCCUAAAGCAUCCGUAGCCGGCUCUGUAAGUUUUCGGUUAAAUCUGUACGCUCAACGUACAGGCUGCCGGAAAUACUGCACAGCUAGGGAGUGGGAGAGGUAGACGGUACUCGGUAGGAAGGGGUAAAAUCCUUUGAUCUAUUGAUGACCACCUGUGGCGAAGGCGGUCUACCAGAACACGUCCGACGGUGAGGGAUGAAAGCUGGGGGAGCAAACCGGAUUAGAUACCCGGGUAGUCCCAGCUGUAAACUAUGCAAACUCAGUGAUGCAUUGGCUUAUGGCCAAUGCAGUGCUGCAGGGAAGCCGUUAAGUUUGCCGCCUGGGAAGUACGUACGCAAGUAUGAAACUUAAAGGAAUUGGCGGGGGAGCACSACAGGGGUGAAGCCUGCGUUC
rnacentral:rRNA from 1 species